CCUUAUUGCGAAUUGCCGGACCGGGUAAUUAAUGCGUAGGAAUNUGCCCUUUAGUGGGGGAUANCCNGGGGAAACUCGGGGCUAAUCCCGCAUACGUUNUACGGAANAAAANCGGGGGAUCGAAAAGACCUCGCGCUAGAGGAUGAGCCUACGUCGGAUUAAGCUGGUUGGUGGGGUAAAGGCCUACCAAGGCGACGAUCCGUAGCUGGUCUGAGAGGAUGAUCAGCCACACUGGGACUGAGACACGGCCCAGACUCCUACGGGAGGCAGCAGUGGGGAAUAUUGGACAAUGGGCGCAAGCCUGAUCCAGCAAUGCCGCGUGUGUGAAGAAGGCCUGCGGGUUGUAAAGCACUUUAGUCAGGAAAGAAGGGGCUGAGGUUAAUANGUUCGGUC
rnacentral:rRNA from 1 species